rnacentral:rRNA from 1 species
CAGUAGCCACGGUAAUACGGAGGGUGCAAGCGUUAAUCGGAAUUACUGGGCGUAAAGCGUGCGUAGGCGGUUCGUUAAGUCUGUUGUGAAAGCCCCGGGCUCAACCUGGGAAUGGCAAUAGAUACUGGCGAGCUAGAGUGUGUCAGAGGAUGGUGGAAUUCCCGGUGUAGCGGUGAAAUGCGUAGAGAUCGGGAGGAACAUCAGUGGCGAAGGCGGCCAUCUGGGACAAUACUGACGCUGAGGCACGAAAGCGUGGGGAGCAAACAGGAUUAGAUACCCCGGUAGUCCCUGUCUCUUAUAA